AGUUCAGAAACUGUUGGACCUUUAACUCGCGUCCUGCUGGUUAAUGUGUCACACAAGUUAAAUAGUUCGUCUAACUUCUGGAGUUUAGUUUCAGUUUAGUUCAUGUUUACAGGACGUUUGUAGACGAUACAAACAGUAAGGUAAUAGUGAAUCGUUUCGGUCUUUGUUUAGGAAUGUGACUAAUCACAUGAUUAGUGUCAUAUGACAUUGACGAGCCCACGAAAGAGGGAAUGAGAGCAGAAACAGUUCCCAAUAAUACACUAAUACUGUCUGUGGUGAUGAAUUCAGAUGGCUAGACAGAUGUGGAGACUCCUGAAGUAAACCGCUGGAUCAUGGAGCGUUUGGGAGCUCAGUCUCUUCUCGCCAUCGCUUGUGUUUUGGGAGUGGUGGUGAGUCAGACAACACUCAGUCCUGCUGUGACGAUCACCACAACCAGUGCAAGCAUGAGCACUACAGGGCCCAGCUGCUCCAGCCUCAACACCUCCACCUGCGUGGCCUGCGCUCCUGGCUCUUAUUAUGAUAACGAAACUCUGCUAUGUUCCUGCUGUCCCGAGGCAGGCCUGUGUGUGUUACCUGGAGCCUGUCUUCUGUGCGUCCAGGGUUUCUAUCAGCCUCUAGCAGGACAGCAGGGCUGUGUGCCCUGUUCAUCUGGGUUUUACAGCAAGUGAGAGGAGAAAGUAUUACGCUGUUGUUUAUUUAAAUCAUAAGCAAUCUUUCUAUGCCAACCAUGCUUUAAUAAUUUUUUCAUUAGUUCCACUGGAAGCCCUGUCUGCCAGCCGUGCCCUACUGGGUCCUACAGCAAUAACACAGGCUCUGCCUCCUGUACAGCAUGUGCACCAGGUAACAAGUGAUAUGUCAUUCAUUCAUUCAGUUUAUGCUAAUUUUUCUUUCCUUUUUUUUUUUUUGCUUUGUUAUAUAAAUAAAUUGACACAUUGGGGGUGGAGAAAAAAUAUG
ensembl:lncRNA